UACGUAGGGUGCGAGCGUUGUCCGGAAUUAUUGGGCGUAAAGAGCUCGUAGGCGGUCUGUCGCGUCUGCUGUGAAAACUCAGGGCUUAACCCUGAGCUUGCAGUGGGUACGGGCAGACUAGAGUGCGGUAGGGGAGACUGGAAUUCCUGGUGUAGCGGUGGAAUGCGCAGAUAUCAGGAGGAACACCGGUGGCGAAGGCGGGUCUCUGGGCAGUAACUGACGCUGGAGGAAGCGAAAGCGUGGGAGCGAACAGG
rnacentral:rRNA from 1 species